rnacentral:rRNA from 1 species
AUACGAAGGUCCCAAGCGUUAUUCGGAAUCACUGGGCGUAAAGAGUACGUAGGCGGUUUGGUAAGUCAGGUGCGAAAUCCCGAAGCUCAACUUCGGAACUGCAUCCGAUACUGCCAGACUAGAGUAAUGGAGAGGCAGGUGGAAUUCUCGGUGUAGCAGUGAAAUGCGUGGAUAUCGAGAGGAAGACCAAUGGCGAAGGCAGCCUGCUGGACAUUUACUGACGCUGAGGUACGAAGGCUAGGGGAGCGAAAGGGAUUAGAAACCCCAGUAGUCC